ensembl:miRNA
UUGGGUUGGCCAAGAAGUGUGUUCAGGUUUUUCUGUAACAUUGUACAGAAAAGUAUGAAUGAACUUUUUGGCCAAUCCAAUAU